ACUCCUACGGGAGGCAGCAGUGGGGAAUAUUGCACAAUGGGCGCAAGCCUGAUGCAGCCAUGCCGCGUGUAUGAAGAAGGCCUUCGGGUUGUAAAGUACUUUCAGCAGUGAGGAAGGUGGAUAUGUUAAUAGCAUAUUCAUUUGACGUUAGCUGCAGAAGAAGCACCGGCUAACUCCGUGCCAGCAGCCGCGGUAAUACGGAGGGUGCGAGCGUUAAUCGGAAUUACUGGGCGUAAAGCGCAUGCAGGUGGUUUGUUAAGUCAGAUGUGAAAGCCCGGGGCUCAACCUCGGAAUUGCAUUUGAAACUGGCAAACUAGAGUACUGUAGAGGGGGGUAGAAUUUCAGGUGUAGCGGUGAAAUGCGUAGAGAUCUGAAGGAAUACCGGUGGCGAAGGCGGCCCCCUGGACAGAUACUGACACUCAGAUGCGAAAGCGUGGGGAGCAAACAGGAUUAGAUACCCUGGUAGCGUGCUAGUCGUAGGGGACAA
rnacentral:rRNA from 1 species